AUAGAGACUCAGAGCUGCAUAUCAAUAAGCGGAGGAAAAGAAACUAACUAGGAUUCCCUUAGUAACGGCGAGUGAAGCGGGAAGAGCUCAAAUUUGAAAUCUUCAAGGUUCUACCUUGACGAAUUGUAGUUUAUAGAAGUGUUUUCUGUUAGUAGAGUGGCAAAAGUUCUUUGGAAUAGGACAUCAUAGAGGGUGAGAAUCCCGUAUUUGGUCAUUCUUUCUAGCUUUGUGAUACACUUUCAAAGAGUCGGAUUGUUUGGGAAUGCAGUCCAAAAUGGGUGGUAAAUUUCAUCUAAAGCUAAAUAUUGGCGAGAGACCGAUAGCGAACAAGUACCGUGAGGGAAAGAUGAAUAGAACUUUGAAAAGAGAGUUAAACAGUACGUGAAAUUGUCAAAAGGGAAGCGUUUGACACUAGUGUUGUUUUUCGAAAAUCAAUUAUAAUAUUUGCGAUUGUAAGUAGUAUUGACCUUAUCAGGCUUGCUGCUUAGUUUUCUCUGAUUAUGUGAAUGCACUUUUCAGGUUAACAAGUCAACAUCAAUUUCUUUUGUUGUAAAAAGGUAAGAGGAAGGUGGCUUGCGCUUCGGCUCAAGUGUUUAUAGCCUUUUACCCCUGCAAUCGGAGAGAUUGAGGUCUGCAGCGUAGAUCCUUCGGGGUUAGAUACAUUUGUGCUAAGCUAUAGCCUUGUAUAGACAACUUGUUGACUAUGCUCAGUCAUGUAGCUUACUCGCUUAUGCUAUUUUACCUACGCUUAGGAUGUUGAUAUGCAUGACUGAUAU
rnacentral:rRNA from 1 species